UAAUAAUAAUAAUAAUAAUAAUAAUGAAGAUAAUAACAGCAAUAAUAAUAACACUUUACAAUUCAAUAAUAUAGUGAUAUUUCUUUACAAAGUUUUUGGUAAUACUUUAGAAUAAGGUUCCAUUAGUUAAUGUUAGUUAACUAUUUUAGUUAAUGAUCUAAACAAGAACAAUUUUUCUACAGCAUUUAUUAAUCUUAGUUUAUGUUAAUUUCAACAUUUACUAAUGCAUUAUUCAGAUCAAAAGUUGUGCUUGUUAACAUUAGUGAAUUAGUGCACUGUGAAUAACAUGAACUAACAAUGAAUAACUGUAUUUUCAUUAACUGACAUUAACAAAGAUGAAUAAAUACAGUAAUAGGUGUAUUGUUCAUUGUUUGUUUAUGUUAAUUAAUGAAUUAACUAACAUUACCUAAUGAACCAUUAGUUGUUACCUAAAGUGUUUUAAUUUUUUUUAAUAAUUUGAUUUAAUAAUAAUAAUAAUAAUAAUAAUAAACAAUUACAAUAAUAUAAAUGUAUUAUUAUUAUAUACAAGGAAUAAAUAUAAUUAUGAAAUACUUUACAAUUCAAUAGUAAUAUAGCGACUUCUUUAUAGAUGUAGUUUAGAGUAAAUUUUUUUAUCAUUUGAUUAAAUAAUAAUAAUAAUUGCAAUUGGUUGUGUUUCCUUAAUUUGUUGAGGAUGCUUUAAUUAAUUAAUGUGUUUAUUUAUUUAAAUGAAGUUGUAUUAAUGUGCUUUAUUGUUGCUGCUGUCAGGUUUGAGCUUACCUUUGAACGGAAGAGUUUGCCUAAUGCACUGUCUUUAGUUUUGCUCUUGGCAGAUCCCUCUGCUUUUGUUGCAGCUGCCGCGGCUGCUUUUGUUGCAGACGUGUCCUCUUUCUUCACCGCCGGCUCUGCUUUGCUUUCCAUCUUAGGUGGCGCUGGGGGAGGAGGAGGGGGUGCCUUGGGUGCUUCCUGUACCUCAGAAAAGAGUGCAGUUUGUUUCAUUUCAAUCACAAAACAGCAGCUUCCACUGGACUGGGUUUGAGAGCUUCAGCCUCCGGCUCCGGCUCUGUGCUGCUCUUUAUGUCCACUGGAUCCUAUAGACAAAUCCAGAGAAUAAGCCCUUGGGAAUGUGUUACAAGCCUUACAGCUGAUGUGCAAUAGAUGCAUUGAAAUAGAGGCACAAUUCCAUCCAUGCCUCUGCCUACUCCAGCCAGCAGCAACAAUCAUCCUUUUAUUAACGCCUGUUUCCCCCCCUCACUCAUUGAUAUUCAGCAAUGUGCUGGAUUUAAAGUCUGCAUGUGUCUUAUAUGGCAGUAAAGUGUGUCAUAUUUAGAAUGUACAGUAUGUGAUUUGCUUGUUAUAUUUUUGUGAAAAGUUGAACAUGUGAAAGGUGUAACUCAACAACAUCUGGUUGGUGAUGACUGGUGUACAGUAGAGUUACAGUAGCUCUUCGUUAGUUGUUAGAUUGCAUGCAAAUGUUAAAAUGCACAAGAAAAGGACAAAAGAAACACUUACCUCUAAGACAGCUAAAGUACUAAUGUUUGGAAUGAAUUAAUGAAUUAAUAAAUGAAUAAACAUUUAUUUAUUUUUAAUGAAUUAAUUAUAAAGACAAAACAAACACUUUAAAUGUCUGAGAGCGUUAAACUACCAGUCAAAUGUUUGGAAUAAUAUUAGAAUAUAUUGUUAUAGAAGCCUCUUAUGAUCAAAAAUACAGUAAAACAUGAAUUUUGUGAAAUAUU
ensembl:lncRNA